rnacentral:tRNA from 1 species
GUGCCCGUAGCUCAGUAGGAUAGAGCUACAGUUUCCUAAACUGUAGGUCGGAGGUUCGAUCCCUCUUGGGUAUG